rnacentral:rRNA from 1 species
AGGCAGACCCGGAGAACUGAAACAUCUUAGUACCCGGAGGAAGAGAAAGAAAAAUCGAUUCCCUGAGUAGCGGCGAGCGAAACGGGAAGAGCCCAAACCAACAAGCUGGCUUGUUGGGGUUGUAGGACACUCUAUACGGAGUUACAAAAGUAUAUAUUAGACGAAUCAUCUGGAAAGUUGAAUCAAAGAAGGUAAUAAUCCUGUAGUCGAAAAUAUAUACUCUCUUGAG